rnacentral:rRNA from 1 species
GUCUACCGCUGGUGCCACUCUGAACAAGCUGGAUCCUAUUUGAUCUCGGGGGCUGAGCAGGUUCCGGCCUGGUUAGUACUUGGCUGGGAGACCACCUAGGAAGAUCAGGUGCUGUGGGGG